rnacentral:lncRNA from 1 species
AAGUACAUAAUAUUGAGACUCGUCAGAUCCAUCGUAAAACAUAUAGGUUACAUUAUCCUAGAUGUCUUUCGUACUGAGUAACUCAAGAAAUAGGCCAAGAAUAUGAGAGACUCCAUUGUUUUCAGCAGCCAUUUGUUGUACCCUGGACUAGUGUCAUCGAGCUGUGGCGUCUGUCUAUUCAGAAAUCCUAUUUUCUCCAACCUAGCAUCAUGUACGUCCAUUCUUGACCAGACCUUGAAGCUUGAGUCGGUUAGUUUGAAC